AUUGAACGCUGGCGGCAGGCCUAACACAUGCAAGUCGAGCGGAUGAAUGGAGCUUGCUCCAUGAUUCAGCGGCGGACGGGUGAGUAAUGCCUAGGAACCUGCCUGGUAGUGGGGGACAACGUUUCGAAAGGAACGCUAAUACCGCAUACGUCCUACGGGAGAAAGCAGGGGACCUUCGGGGCUGGCGCUAUCAGGUGAGCCUAGGGCGGAUUAGCUAGUAGGUGAGGUAAUGGCUCACCUAGGCGACGAUCCGUAACUGGUCUGAGAGGAUGAUCAGUCACACUGGAACUGGGACACGGUCCAGACUCCUACGGGAGGCAGCAGUGGGGAAUAUUGGACAAUGGGCGAAAGCCUGAUCCAGCCAUGCCGCGUGUGUGAAGAAGGUCUUCGGAUUGUAAAGCACUUUAAGUUGGGAGGAAGGGCAGUAAGUUAAUACCUUGCUGUUUUGACGUUACCAACAGAAUAAGCACCGGCUAACUUCGUGCCAGCAGCCGCGGUAAGAC
rnacentral:rRNA from 1 species